GGAGGGAUGGCUCAGUGGUUAAGAGCACUGGCUGUUCAUGCAGCAGACCUAGGUUCAGUUCCCAGUGCCCCCA
rnacentral:tRNA from 1 species